UACGGGGGGAGCAAGCGUUGUUCGGAUUUACUGGGCGUAAAGGGCGCGUAGGCGGUCAGCACAAGUCAGUUGUGAAAUCUCCGGGCUUAACUCGGAAAGGUCAACUGAUACUGUGCGACUAGAGUGCAGAAGGGGCAACUGGAAUUCCCGGUGUAGCGGUGAAAUGCGCAGAGAUCGGGAGGAACACCCGUAGCGAAGGCGGCACUCUGGGCCGUGACUGACGCUGAGGAGCGAAAGCGUGGGGAGCAAACAGG
rnacentral:rRNA from 1 species